AUGGCCGAUUACCUGAUCAGUGGCGGCACCGGCUACGUGCCAGACGACGGGCUGACGGCGCAGCAGAUGCUCAACUGCGGAGACGGGCUCACCUACAAUGACUUCCUUAUACUCCCUGGCUACAUAGACUUCACUGCAGACCAAGUGGACCUGACUUCUGCCCUGACCAAGAAGAUAACUUUGAAGACUCCAUUGGUAUCCUCCCCUAUGGACACCGUAACAGAGGCUAGCAUGGCCAUUGCGAUGGCGCUCACAGGUGGGAUUGGAUUCAUCCACCAUAACUGCACCCCAGAAUUCCAGGCCAACGAAGUACGAAAAGUCAAGAAAUAUGAACAGGGAUUUAUCACAGACCCAGUAGUGCUGAGCCCCAAAGAUCGGGUCCGAGAUGUUUUCGAAGCGAAAGCCAGACACGGGUUCUGCGGCAUCCCCAUCACGGACAACGGGAAGAUGGGCAGCCGGCUCGUGGGGAUCAUCUCAUCCCGAGACAUCGACUUCCUGAAGGAAGAAGAGCACGACUUGCCUCUCAGCGAGAUCAUGACCAAGCGAGAAGACCUUGUUGUAGCACCUGCAGGGGUUACGUUAAAAGAAGCCAAUGAAAUUCUGCAGAGGAGUAAAAAAGGCAAGUUGCCCAUUGUUAAUGAACGGGAUGAGUUGGUGGCUAUAAUUGCUCGCACGGAUCUGAAGAAAAACCGGGACUAUCCCCUGGCAUCCAAAGAUGCCAAGAAGCAGCUGCUCUGUGGGGCUGCCAUUGGGACCCACGAAGAUGAUAAAUACCGUCUCGACCUCCUUGGGCAAGCUGGUGUGGAUGUUGUUGUGUUGGAUUCCUCCCAAGGGAACUCCAUUUUCCAAAUCAACAUGAUCAAAUAUAUCAAAGAGAAAUACCCUGAGCUUCAGGUCAUUGGAGGCAAUGUGGUGACAGCAGCUCAGGCGAAGAACCUGAUCGACGCCGGGGUGGAUGCCUUGAGAGUUGGCAUGGGCAGCGGGUCCAUCUGCAUCACUCAAGAAGCUGCUCCAAAGAUCCCUCCAGACCUAAAGUCCCACAGCCCCAAAUGCCCUUCCACAGUCACUGGCACCUAUAUCUUGGCGUGUGGGAGGCCUCAGGCCACAGCAGUGUACAAAGUGUCUGAGUACGCCCGGAGGUUUGGCGUGCCGGUGAUUGCAGACGGCGGCAUCCAGAAUGUCGGCCACAUCGCCAAGGCCCUGGCGCUUGGCGCUUCCACAGUGAUGAUGGGCUCCCUUCUGGCUGCCACCACAGAGGCCCCAGGGGAGUAUUUCUUCUCUGAUGGGAUCCGACUGAAGAAAUACCGGGGCAUGGGAUCGCUUGAUGCCAUGGACAAGAACCUCGGUAGUCAGAACCGAUACUUCAGCGAGACAGAUAAGAUUAAAGUGGCACAGGGGGUUUCUGGUGCCGUGCAGGACAAGGGCUCCAUCCACAAGUUCGUGCCAUACCUGAUUGCUGGCAUCCAGCAUGCCUGCCAAGAUAUCGGUGCCAAGAGCGUCACCCAAGUUAGGUCGAAAAUGUUGUCUCAGUCUGUUCCUGUCUUUCAUCACCAGGGCCAUGAUGUAUUCAGGAGAGCUGAAAUUUGAAAAGAGAACAACGUCUGCCCAAAUGGAAGGAGGGGUUCACGGUCUCCACUCAUAUGAAAAGCGCCUUUUCUGAUGAAGGUCCCCUUCGCCUUUCCACGGCCUUUUUGCCCUGUGGGUGCCUGUGCUGCCUUUCUCAUGAACUUCUCCCUUCAUGGAAGUGCCAUUUUGCUAGAGGGG